rnacentral:lncRNA from 1 species
UUUAUGUAUUGCUUGUUUGUUAUCUUGUGUUCUCCGCUUGUCUUGUUUCUGUAUCUUUGUGUUCCAUCUAGUUAUCAUGUGUUGUUUGCUGGUUUUGUAUCAAUAAGUCACCAAAUAGAUAUAAUAAAUCACUACGAGCUCUGCAAAUAUGAUGUAGUCACACACAAAACAUAGAUUUGUGUCUAUAGUGAUCUUAUAACUAUAUAGUUUUUGUAUUGUACCAGUCUCACUCUGCACCA